CGGGGUCGGAACUUCGGUUCCGGCUUACGUGGCGCACGGGUGAGUAACACGUGGGAAUCUGCCCAUCUAUGGGGAAUAACUGCGGGAAACUGCAGCUAAUACCGCAUACGCCCUUCGGGGGAAAGGCUUCGGCCGUAGAUGGAUGAGCCCGCGUCCGAUUAGCUAGUUGGUGGGGUAAAAGCCUACCAAGGCGACGAUCGGUAGCUGGUCUGAGAGGAUGAUCAGCCACACUGGGACUGAGACACGGCCCAGACUCCUACGGGAGGCAGCAGUGGGGAAUAUUGGACAAUGGGCGAAAGCCUGAUCCAGCAAUGCCGCGUGAGUGAUGAAGGUCUUCGGAUUGUAAAGCUCUUUCGACGGGGAAGAUAAUGACGGUACCCGUAGAAGAAGCCCCGGCUAACUUCGUGCCAGCAGCCGCGGUAAUACGAAGGGGGCUAGCGUUGUUCGGAUUUACUGGGCGUAAAGCGUGCGUAGGCGGCUUGUCAAGUCAGAAGUGAAAGCCCGGGGCUCAACUCCGGAACUGCUUUUGAGACUGGCAGGCUUGAGUUCGGGAGAGGGUAGUGGAAUUCCCAGUGUAGAGGUGAAAUUCGUAGAUAUUGGGAAGAACACCG
rnacentral:rRNA from 1 species